CAAGAAGGCUCAAACCCCAGCGAUGAAAACUCUGCUCUAGUGCAUUAUAUUCAGAUUCAUCAAGAUGAAUUUUCCAUGAAUAUCAAACUUCAGCUAUUUAAACUUGUCGCAAAGCAAACAACUUUUCACCAGCUUAGGACAGUUGAGCAACUUGGUUACAUCACUUGUCUUUCUCAAAGAAACGAUUCUGGUGUCUAU